rnacentral:rRNA from 1 species
GUUAAAAAGCUCGUAGUUGGAUUUCUGUUGUGGGUUGCCGGCCGGGUUCUCUGAACUUGUAGCUAGGUUAACUUGCAGCAUCUUGCCGUAAUCCUCACUGGCAUUCAUUUGUUGGUGUAGGGGACCGGCUCGUUUACUUUGAGAAAAUUAGAGUGUUCAAAGCAGGCUAUAGCUCUGAAUAUGUUAGCAUGGAAUAAUAAUAUAGGACUUUACGUUCUAUUUUGUUGGUUGUUCGAGGACGUAAGUAAUGAUUGAUAGGGACAGUUGGGGGCAUCAGUAUUCUGAAGCGAGAGGUGAAAUUCUUGGACCUUCGGAAGACUAACAACUGCGAAAGCAUUUGCCUAGGAUGUUCUCUUUAAUCAAGAACGAAGGUUGGGGGAUCGAAGACGAUCAGAUACCGUCGUAGUCUCAACUAUAAACUAUGCCAGCUAGGGAUGGGUUGAUGUUUUAACUACGACUCAAUCCGCACCUUAUGAGAAAUCAAAGCAUUUGGGUUCCGGGGG